rnacentral:rRNA from 1 species
UAAGCGACUAAGCGUACACGGUGGAUGCCCUGGCAGUCAGAGGCGAUGAAGGACGUGCUAAUCUGCGAUAAGCGUCGGUAAGGUGAUAUGAACCGUUAUAACCGGCGAUUUCCGAAUGGGGAAACCCAGUGUGAUUCGUCACACUAUCAUUAACUGAAUCCAUAGGUUAAUGAGGCGAACCGGGGGAACUGAAACAUCUAAGUACCCCGAGGAAAAGAAAUCAACCGAGAUUCCCCCAGUAGCGGCGAGCGAACGGGGAGGAGCCCAGAGCCUGAAAUCAGUGUAGUGUGUUAGUGGAAGCGUCUGGAAAGGCGCGCGAUACAGGGUGACAGCCCCGUACACAAAAAUGCACAUACUGUGAGCUCGAUGAGUAGGGCGGGACACGUGGUAUCCUGUCUGAAUAUGGGGGGACCAUCCUCCAAGGCUAAAUACUCCUGACUGACCGAUAGUGAACCAGUACCGUGAGGGAAAGGCGAAAAGAACCCCGGCGAGGGGAGUGAAAAAGAACCUGAAACCGUGUACGUACAAGCAGUGGGAGCCUCUUUUAUGGGGUGACUGCGUACCUUUUGUAUAAUGGGUCAGCGACUUAUAUUCUGUAGCAAGGUUAACCGAAUAGGGGAGCCGAAGGGAAACCGAGUCUUAACCGGGCGUUAAGUUGCAGGGUAUAGACCCGAAACCCGGUGAUCUAGCCAUGGGCAGGUUGAAGGUUGGGUAACACUAACUGGAGGACCGAACCGACUAAUGUUGAAAAAUUAGCGGAUGACUUGUGGCUGGGGGUGAAAGGCCAAUCAAACCGGGAGAUAGCUGGUUCUCCCCGAAAGCUAUUUAGGUAGCGCCUCGUGAAUUCAUCUCCGGGGGUAGAGCACUGUUUCGGCAAGGGGGUCAUCCCGACUUACCAACCCGAUGCAAACUGCGAAUACCGGAGAAUGUUAUCACGGGAGACACACGGCGGGUGCUAACGUCCGUCGUGAAGAGGGAAACAACCCAGACCGCCAGCUAAGGUCCCAAAGUCAUGGUUAAGUGGGAAACGAUGUGGGAAGGCCCAGACAGCCAGGAUGUUGGCUUAGAAGCAGCCAUCAUUUAAAGAAAGCGUAAUAGCUCACUGGUCGAGUCGGCCUGCGCGGAAGAUGUAACGGGGCUAAACCAUGCACCGAAGCUGCGGCAGCGACACUGUGUGUUGUUGGGUAGGGGAGCGUUCUGUAAGCCUGUGAAGGUGUACUGUAAGGUAUGCUGGAGGUAUCAGAAGUGCGAAUGCUGACAUAAGUAACGAUAAAGCGGGUGAAAAGCCCGCUCGCCGGAAGACCAAGGGUUCCUGUCCAACGUUAAUCGGGGCAGGGUGAGUCGACCCCUAAGGCGAGGCCGAAAGGCGUAGUCGAUGGGAAACAGGUUAAUAUUCCUGUACUUGGUGUUACUGCGAAGGGGGGACGGAGAAGGCUAUGUUGGCCGGGCGACGGUUGUCCCGGUUUAAGCGUGUAGGCUGGUUUUCCAGGCAAAUCCGGAAAAUCAAGGCUGAGGCGUGAUGACGAGGCACUACGGUGCUGAAGCAACAAAUGCCCUGCUUCCAGGAAAAGCCUCUAAGCAUCAGGUAACAUCAAAUCGUACCCCAAACCGACACAGGUGGUCAGGUAGAGAAUACCAAGGCGUUUGAGAGAACUCGGGUGAAGGAACUAGGCAAAAUGGUGCCGUAACUUCGGGAGAAGGCACGCUGAUAUGUAGGUGAAGUCCCUCGCGGAUGGAGCUGAAAUCAGUCGAAGAUACCAGCUGGCUGCAACUGUUUAUUAAAAACACAGCACUGUGCAAACACGAAAGUGGACGUAUACGGUGUGACGCCUGCCCGGUGCCGGAAGGUUAAUUGAUGGGGUCAGCGCAAGCGAAGCUCUUGAUCGAAGCCCCGGUAAACGGCGGCCGUAACUAUAACGGUCCUAAGGUAGCGAAAUUCCUUGUCGGGUAAGUUCCGACCUGCACGAAUGGCGUAAUGAUGGCCAGGCUGUCUCCACCCGAGACUCAGUGAAAUUGAACUCGCUGUGAAGAUGCAGUGUACCCGCGGCAAGACGGAAAGACCCCGUGAACCUUUACUAUAGCUUGACACUGAACAUUGAGCCUUGAUGUGUAGGAUAGGUGGGAGGCUUUGAAGUGUGGACGCCAGUCUGCAUGGAGCCGACCUUGAAAUACCACCCUUUAAUGUUUGAUGUUCUAACGUGGACCCGUGAUCCGGGUUGCGGACAGUGUCUGGUGGGUAGUUUGACUGGGGCGGUCUCCUCCUAAAGAGUAACGGAGGAGCACGAAGGUUGGCUAAUCCUGGUCGGACAUCAGGAGGUUAGUGCAAUGGCAUAAGCCAGCUUGACUGCGAGCGUGACGGCGCGAGCAGGUGCGAAAGCAGGUCAUAGUGAUCCGGUGGUUCUGAAUGGAAGGGCCAUCGCUCAACGGAUAAAAGGUACUCCGGGGAUAACAGGCUGAUACCGCCCAAGAGUUCAUAUCGACGGCGGUGUUUGGCACCUCGAUGUCGGCUCAUCACAUCCUGGGGCUGAAGUAGGUCCCAAGGGUAUGGCUGUUCGCCAUUUAAAGUGGUACGCGAGCUGGGUUUAGAACGUCGUGAGACAGUUCGGUCCCUAUCUGCCGUGGGCGCUGGAGAACUGAGGGGGGCUGCUCCUAGUACGAGAGGACCGGAGUGGACGCAUCACUGGUGUUCGGGUUGUCAUGCCAAUGGCACUGCCCGGUAGCUAAAUGCGGAAGAGAUAAGUGCUGAAAGCAUCUAAGCACGAAACUUGCCCCGAGAUGAGUUCUCCCUGACCCUUUAAGGGUCCUGAAGGAACGUUGAAGACGACGACGUUGAUAGGCCGGGUGUGUAAGCGCAGCGAUGCGUUGAGCUAACCGGUACUAAUGAACCGUGAGGCUUAACCU